UUUUCAGACAUUAGACAAGACUGCAACCAAACUGAUUGACAAUGAUCAUUAUGAUUCAGAGAACAUCGCUUCUAUCCGGGAUGGGCUGCUGUCUCGCCGGGAUGCCCUACGUGAAAGGGCUGCCACUCGGCGCAGAUUGCUGGAGGACUCCCUGCUUCUGCAGCAACUGUAUCAGGACUCAGAUGACCUGAAGAACUGGAUCAACAAGAAGAAAAAGCUGGCAGAUGAUGAAGAUUAUAAGG